CGUGAGUAACCUGCCCUGGAGUGGGGAAUAACAGCUGGAAACAGCUGCUAAUACCGCAUAAUGCAGUUGGGCCGCAUGGCUCUGACUGCCAAAGAUUUAUCGCUCUGGGAUGGACUCGCGUCUGAUUAGCUAGUUGGUGGGCAACGGCCCACCAAGGCGACGAUCAGUAGCCGGACUGAGAGGUUGGCCGGCCACAUUGGGACUGAGACACGGCCCAGACUCCUACGGAAGGCAGCAG
rnacentral:rRNA from 1 species